CUGCUCACUCUGGCAGCACAUGCACUAAAAUUGGAACAACAGACAGAAGAUUAGCAUAACCCCUGCACAAGGAUGACACAAAUUUGUGAAGUAUUCCAUAUUUUU